UCUUGGUCAUUUAGAGGAAGUAAAAGUCGUAACAAGGUUUCCGUAGGUGAACCUGCGGAAGGAUCAUUAUCGAAUUAUAAGCGAGGGUUGUAGCUGGCCUCCCUUUCGAGGCAUGUGCACGCCUGAGCUCUUAAAUCCACAACACACCUGUGAACCCACCGUAGGCCUUCGGGCUUAUGUAUCAUAUACUCUGAAUGUGUCAUAGAAUGUUCAUGUUGCCUUAAAAACGCAAUCAAAUACAACUUUCAACAACGGAUCUCUUGGCUCUCGCAUCGAUGAAGAACGCAGCGAAAUGCGAUAAGUAAUGUGAAUUGCAGAUUUUCAGUGAAUCAUCGAAUCUUUGAACGCACCUUGCGCUCCUUGGUAUUCCGAGGAGCAUGCCUGUUUGAGUGUCAUUAAAUCCUCAACCCCACCGAUUUGUUUCGGGGGGGAUUGGACUUGGAGUGUGCUGGCGAAGGUCGGCUCCUCUUUAAAUGCAUCUGUGGAGAAGAAACUUGCCCCAGUGUGAUAAUCCUGUUGCGCUGUGGUGGGUGAAAGUCUGCUUCCAACUGUCCUCCGGGACAGACAUCAUCUCAAUUUGACCUCAAAUCAGGUAGGACUACCCGCUGAACUUAAGCAUAUCAAUAAGCGGAGGAA
rnacentral:rRNA from 1 species